rnacentral:rRNA from 1 species
UACGUAGGGGGCGAGCGUUGUCCGGAUUUACUGGGCGUAAAGCGCGUGUAGGCGGUCCAUUAAGUUGGGUGUGAAAGCCCGGGGCUCAACCCCGGAGCGCCGCCCAAGACUGGUGGACUUGAGGCUGGAAGAGGGGAGUGGAAUUCCUGGUGUAGCGGUGAAAUGCGUAGAGAUCAGGAGGAACACCCGUGGCGAAGGCGGCUCCCUGGUCCGGUUCUGACGCUGAGACGCGAAAGCGCGGGGAGCGAACGGG